rnacentral:rRNA from 1 species
UACGUAGGGUGCAAGCGUUGUCCGGAAUUAUUGGGCGUAAAGAGCUCGUAGGCGGUUUGUCGCGUCUGCUGUGAAAACUCAGGGCUUAACCCCGGGCCUGCAGUGGAUACGGGCUGGCUAGAGGCAGGCAGGGGAGAACGGAAUUCCUGGUGUAGCGGUGAAAUGCGCAGAUAUCAGGAGGAACACCUGUGGUGUAGACAGCUUACUGGACCAUUUCUGACGCUGAGACACGAAAGCGUGGGUAGCAAACAGG